CCCCUCCAUUGUAGACCACAUGUUCUUUUUCCAGAUGGGAACUUCCUCCUCUCAAGUUCCAGAGGAAUCUCCCCUUGCCUGCCUGCUAAAAUGCUGGAAGGACAUCGAUCCUGACAACCUUCACAAAAAGGCUUUGAUUUUUGUGGAGAGUGGAUUAUAAGAAGCCUAUGAGAACUGGACAUAAGCAAGGAGUCCAAGUGGCUGGACUGGAAGCUUGGAUCCACAUCUCCAGAGUCAAGCAUUGGAAUACCUCAAAGACUCUUCUCCCCAAGACUCAGAUGAGCUGCAGUACUCCUGUGAGCCUCUAGAAGACCUCCGACUCCUCUUCAUGAAGUGAGCUUGUCUGCCUUCUCUGCUGGGGCCUCACAUUCUUGGGAUAGAUAAUCAUGGUCUUCUGGUUGACCAGGAUGCCCUCGUAGAAGCGUUGCAGACCGGGGUCAUUAAAGCUGCGGCAUUGGAUGUGACAUACCCAGAGCCCCUGCCAAGGUAACAAGACCAG